rnacentral:lncRNA from 1 species
GGUUCUGAUUCUACUUCCUCAACAAGCUACAGCAUGGCAGUAUCUGCCACCACUUGUUUUGGUCCAAGGGCAGAAAUCAGCAUCCUGGAAACCAAUCAGUACUUGCGCUCUGAACUGGAAAAGUGCAAACAGAACUUCCAAGACCUCACAGAGAAAUUCCUGACAUCCAAAGCUACUGCCUACUCCCUGACCAAUCACCUGCAGAAAUAUAGAUACAUGAUCCCUUAAUUCAGGCUCAGGCUGAAGAACUGACCCACUUACGACAGAAGACACAGGAAGGGAGAGGUGUCUGCUACCUUUUUACCCAGCAUGUGAAGAACACAGUCAAGUCUUUUGAGGGCCUUCUCAGGAACACUGGCAUUGCCUACUACCAGAGACAGAGAUUCUGUGAGCAAAUGGUACAAGGAAGCCAGCUGACAGAGAUCCUUGUCAGAAAACUUGUCACAGAAUCUUGCUCUCUUACCCAAGCUGGAGUGCAGUGACACGGUCUUGGCUGACUGCAAUCUGUGCCUCCUGGGCUCAAGCAAUCUUCCCACCUCAGCCUCCCAAGUAGCUGGGACUACAGAAUCACCCCCAAUUCUCACCAACAAACUGAGAAGAAAAAAAAAAGAAUUACCCCCAAGAACAUCUGAGGAAGCACAACAGGGACAGACUUGAAGGCACCUGGGCAGUCCUCUGGUUUUGGAGUAGAGAAAAUCACAACGGUAAGAAAAAUGAAGACAGGCAAAAGCCACUGGCUCCUAGCAUGCACCUCUAAACUCUACAGGCACAUCAUAGAUUCCAUCGUCCAGCUGUAUAAUGAAAACAGAGUUCUCAGAGAACACCGGAGACUCCCCCGACUUGCCUGAAUCAAGUUUCUAGAGGUAAGCGGUGAAAAUCCACAAUAUGAAGUCACUCUCAGACGGGUCCCUUCUCUUGUCACACUCCACUGUAGAAACAAAAGAGGACGGGGAAGCCAGAGCUGCUCAAAACCUUAUAACCCACAAUUGUCAUA